rnacentral:rRNA from 1 species
UACGUAGGGUGCGAGCGUUGUCCGGAAUUAUUGGGCGUAAAGAGCUUGUAGGCGGUUUGUCGCGUCUGCUGUGAAAAUCCGGGGCUCAACCCCGGACUUGCAGUGGGUACGGGCAGACUAGAGUGUGGUAGGGGAGACUGGAAUUCCUGGCGUAGCGGUGGAAUGCGCAGAUAUCAGGAGGAACACCGAUGGCGAAGGCAGGUCUCUGGGCCACUACUGACGCUGAGAAGCGAAAGCAUGGGGAGCGAACAGG